AGAUUGAACGCUGGCGGCAUGCCUUACACAUGCAAGUCGAACGGCAGCACGGGAGCAAUCCUGGUGGCGAGUGGCGAACGGGUGAGUAAUACAUCGGAACGUGCCCAGUCGUGGGGGAUAACGCAGCGAAAGCUGCGCUAAUACCGCAUACGAUCUAUGGAUAGAAAGCGGGGGACCGUAAGGCCUACGCGUCGAUUGGAGCGGCCGAUAUCAGAUUAGGUAGUUUGGUGGGGUAAAGGCGUACGACCAAGCCAAACGAUACUGUAGCUGGUCUGAGAGGACGACCAGCCACACUGGGACUGGAGACACGGCCCAGGACCUCCGUACGGGAGCAGCAGUGGGAAUUUGGGACUAAGUGGGACGCGAAGCCUGACUCCGAGCCAA
rnacentral:rRNA from 1 species